UGCAGUCGAACGCGUUGGCCCAACUGAUUGAACGUGCUUGCACGGACUUGACGUUGGUUUACCAGCGAGUGGCGGACGGGUGAGUAACACGUAGGUAACCUGCCCCAAAGCGGGGGAUAACAUUUGGAAACAGAUGCUAAUACCGCAUAACAAUUUGAAUCGCAUGAUUCAAAUUUAAAAGAUGGCUUCGGCUAUCACUUUGGGAUGGACCUGCGGCGCAUUAGCUUGUUGGUAGGGUAACGGCCUACCAAGGCUGUGAUGCGUAGCCGAGUUGAGAGACUGAUCGGCCACAAUGGAACUGAGACACGGUCCAUACUCCUACGGGAGGCAGCAGUAGGGAAUCUUCCACAAUGGGCGCAAGCCUGAUGGAGCAACACCGCGUGAGUGAAGAAGGGUUUCGGCUCGUAAAGCUCUGUUGUUAGAGAAGAACGUGCGUGAGAGCAACUGUUCACGCAGUGACGGUAUCUAACCAGAAAGUCACGGCUAACUACGUGCCAGCAGCCGCGGUAAUACGUAGGUGGCAAGCGUUAUCCGGAUUUAUUGGGCGUAAAGCGAGCGCAGGCGGUUUGAUAAGUCUGAUGUGAAAGCCUUUGGCUUAACCAAAGAAGUGCAUCGGAAACUGUCAGACUUGAGUGCAGAAGAGGACAGUGGAACUCCAUGUGUAGCGGUGGAAUGCGUAGAUAUAUGGAAGAACACCAGUGGCGAAAGCGGCUGUCUGGUCUGCAACUGACGCUGAGCUCGAAAGCAUGGGUAGCGAACAGGAUUAGAUACCCUGGUAGUCCAUGCCGUAACGAUGA
rnacentral:rRNA from 2 species